GCCCAGGUGGCGGAAUCGGUAUACGCGUAGCCUUGAGGUGGCUAUGGGCGCAAGCCCGUGCAGGUUCAAGUCCUGUCCUGGGCA
rnacentral:tRNA from 1 species